rnacentral:rRNA from 1 species
UGGGGAAUAUUGGACAAUGGGGGCAACCCUGAUCCAGCCAUGCCGCGUGAGUGAUGAAGGCCUUAGGGUUGUAAAGCUCUUUCACCCGGGACGAUAAUGACGGUACCGGGAGAAGAAGCCCCGGCUAACUUCGUGCCAGCAGCCGCGGUAAUACGAAGGGGGGCUAGCGUUGUUCGGAAUCACUGGGCGUAAAGCGCACGUAGGCGGACCGUUAAGUCGGAGGUGAAAUCCUGGGGCUCAACCCCAGAACUGCCUUCGAUACUGGCGGUCUCGAGUCCGGAAGAGGUGAGUGGAACUGCCAGUGUAGAGGUGAAAUUCGUAGAUAUUGGCAAGAACACCAGUGGCGAAGGCGGCUCACUGGUCCGGUACUGACGCUGAGGUGCGAAAGCGUGGGGAGCAAACAGGAUUAGAUACCCUGUAGUCCACGCCGUAAACGAUGAAUGCCAGCCGUCGGGCAGCAUGCUGUUCGGUGGCGCAGCUAACGCUUUAAGCAUCCGCCUGGGGAGUACGGUCGCAAGAUU